GGCCGCAUAGUGUAGUGGCCAACACGCUCACUUUGGGUCAAGCAAUGCUGCGCCACAUGUGAGAGGUCCCGAGUUCGAACCCCGGUGUAGCCC